rnacentral:rRNA from 1 species
UACAGAGGUCUCAAGCGUUGUUCGGAUUCAUUGGGCGUAAAGGGUGCGUAGGCGGCGCGGUAAGUCGGGUGUGAAAUCUCGGAGCUUAACUCCGAAACUGCAUUCGAUACUGCCGUGCUUGAGGACUGGAGAGGAGACUGGAAUUUACGGUGUAGCGGUGAAAUGCGUAGAUAUCGUAAGGAAGACCAGUGGCGAAGGCGGGUCUCUGGGCCGGUACCGACGCUGGAGGAGCGAAAGCGUGGGGAGCGAACAGG